CCCCUAGAUGUUCUGGGCCGCACGCGCGCUACACUGAACAGUUCAACAAGUCUUAACCUUGGCCGAUAGGUCUGGGUAAUCUUUGAACGCUGUUCGUGAUUGGGAUAGACCUUUGCAAUUAUGGGUCUUCAACGAGGAAUUCCUAGUAAACGCAAGUCAUCGGCUUGCAUUGAUUACGUCCCUGCCCUUUGUACACACCGCCCGUCGCACCUACCGAUUGAAUGGUCCGGUGAAAUCUCGGGACGGCGGCUUGGUCGCUUGCGUCCGACUGCUGAAACUUGAUUAAACCAUAUCAUUUAGAGGAAGGUGAANUCGUAACA
rnacentral:rRNA from 1 species